GGGAAAGUGGCUCAGUGGUAGAGUGCUGGCCUGACAUGCCUGAAGCCCUGGGUUUGAUUCCUCAGCACCA
rnacentral:tRNA from 1 species